UUCAAACCUAUGACGGAGAGAAGUAGCCGAUGCGGAUAAGCACAAAGAGAGUCCCGGGUGGUGUGAUCGGGGCGGCGGACGGUCGGUGAAUGGACUUCAGAGGGCGGACCGAACGGCGGAAGUCAAGUAGGGACCGACGGGUAUCCCACCCGUUAUCCAUCGGGGCGCGUAUGAUGGUGCGCGUAAGCGAGCGGGCGUUUUACAAAACGUCAAUUUGGGUGGUAUCGCAGAAGUUUGAUGACUUUUGUCCCAUGU
rnacentral:ncRNA from 1 species